rnacentral:rRNA from 1 species
GAUCAUGGCUCAAGAUGAACGCUGGCGGCGUGCCUAAUACAUGCAAGUCGAGCGAACAGACGAGGAGCUUGCUCCUCUGACGUUAGCGGCGGACGGGUGAGUAACACGUGGAUAACCUACCUAUAAGACUGGGAUAACUUCGGGAAACCGGAGCUAAUACCGGAUAAUAUAUUGAACCGCAUGGUUCAAUAGUGAAAGACGGUUUUGCUGUCACUUAUAGAUGGAUCCGCGCCGCAUUAGCUAGUUGGUAAGGUAACGGCUUACCAAGGCAACGAUGCGUAGCCGACCUGAGAGGGUGAUCGGCCACACUGGAACUGAGACACGGUCCAGACUCCUACGGGAGGCAGCAGUAGGGAAUCUUCCGCAAUGGGCGAAAGCCUGACGGAGCAACGCCGCGUGAGUGAUGAAGGUCUUCGGAUCGUAAAGCUCUGUUAUUAGGGAAGAACAAAUGUGUAAGUACUAUGCAGUCUGA